rnacentral:lncRNA from 1 species
AUGGGUCCCAGAAAUAAGAAUGGGGAAGGACUAGGUGCCCUGGGGAGAGCCAUACUUGGACCCUGUGUUCUAGGAAACCCAUUGGCUGUAUUCAGUACAAGCUGCCUCUGUAUGAGGGAGAGGACCCUGGUAUGUUCCUCACAUGUGAGUAUCUGGGUUCCAAUUCUUAUUUCAGUAAAGGCCCAGCGGGAGAUGGACUUCUCACAUGGCUAUGUUGUCCACAGGGUGGAGGCAUGUCAUCUACAUCUAUAUCCUGCCUGGGAAGGAGUCUGCCAUUGCCUACUUCAGGGGCAAAAUGAACUAUCAGUAUUACCAGAUGAUGAUGCUCAUGGGCCGCACCCUGAAAACCAACCUAGAUGCUCUGAGGGCCUUCAAGACGUUUAUGAUGAGUAAAAUGGGGAAAAAAGCCAAGACAAAGACGCCUCCCCACGCUGGUAAUUAGAUCUAUUUCCUUCCUGUUACUUCAGUUCUGUCAGACUGACUGCACAAUGCCUGUCUAUCCCGUCUUCUCCUUCUCGGUCUACAGAAGCCUGUGAAUUGCCCAGAGAUUCCUAACACAGGAGCAGCACCUCAGAGACUGUGUAGCAGCAGGAGUGGGGAUCCUCCAUGCACCUCCAUCUUGGCCAGAACACAGUGUGGAGAAAGGAAAAGGUGGGGCCAAGUGCCCACAUCUCUUCCAAACAGGUCUCUGCCUUAAUAAAUAUGGUCAAUGUCUCCA